rnacentral:rRNA from 1 species
AUCAGGAGGGAUACCCCGCUGAACUUAAGCAUAUCUAAAAACC